UAAAAUUUACUUUUCUUUUCUUUUCUGGCAUGUCUGCUUCUUUGGGUAUGGCUUAAGCUGUUCAAUAUAAAUUUUCUUAGGAGUGGGAGGACUUCAAAAAGGUUGCUGAAUGAGAGCUGGGCAGAAAACAGAUAAUGGGCAGAAAUACCGUGGGCUUUCCUGCUCUGAGGCUUUAGGAAAAACACAAACAAGAAUCCAGAAUUAAGUUACCAAACCUAAAUUAUUAUUUAUAAUUAGCCCUUUCAGAUAAGACUUGUCUGUGUACCAAAGAACACUGAAAAAUGGGGCUUUCAUUCACAACCAGCUUUUUGAUGAUGUGAAAAGUUUAGGCAACAGAACUGCAGAGGAAGAAGAAGAGAAAUAGAAGAAAAAUGUAACAAGGGAGAUUAUGAGAAAAACUUGUUAACGCCAAGGAGAAAGUGAAGCAGUAAAUGGAAAACAGUAAAUUCUGGAAGAGUGGGAAAAAAAACCCAGAGGAUAAUCCAAGGGGGGAGGAGACAGACUUGAGGAGAYAGUUGGUGGAGGAGUGACUGCUGAGAUGAUAGGGUGGAAGGUGACAGACAUACACAGAGCUGGAGGAGGGAGGAGAUUCUGGGAGAAGGAAACAGGGCUAAAAGGAAGCACAUGGAGAAAGGAAGGCAGAAGUCUGGCAACAAGCRGGAGGCUGCAGCUGCGAAAAGGCACAGGAAGCAAUCAGCAGGACUCCAAGAAGACCAAAGGCUCUUCUGCACCUCUGCAGUUCCUUGUGGCAAGAGUUGUGAGAGCAGCACUCCCUCCACACAGGACACGUCGAGAACCACAAGGGACAGCACCUUAGGUCCUAAGGCUUAACAGAGCUGGGAAAGCUACAGCUGAGAGUCUCUAGUGRGUAAUGAAGGAGCCACACAGACAUUUGGAAAGAGCCUUCCAAACUGGUGUGAGGAGAAAUAAGGUAUUAAUGCAUGUUGGGGAGAAUCUUUCUUCAGGAGGUUGAAAAAUGUGGGAUAUGAGUGGUUGGAGCAUGAAUCAGGGCGUGCACUGGAAAGCCUUGAAGGCCAAAGCACCUGCAGUAAAAUCUGUGAUGAGAYCUGGACAAGAAAAUGCUACACCAUGUCUGCARUCCUUGUCCAAGCUUUCCAUUAAUGCCAGGUGGUAAAUAUUUUGAAGUGUCUUCUUGAAUUAUCUUUUAUUAUCACAACUUCUUUCCAUUUAGCAGAACCUUUUACAGCUCUUCUGAUGUUGUCACUAUUGGGCACUGAUGUGGAGAGGAACUGAGAGGGCUUUUUGGGGAGUUUGAGUGGAAUUGUUCUAACAUUGGCCUUCUAACCCUUAGRUGUCUAAGUUAAGGCAGUUGUUCAGCUGCUUUGCAGUUAAAGGGGAGGCAUCAGUACCUCUGAAAGAUAURCUCCCCCUGGAAAUGUCCAAAAACAAGUACUUGUAUCACUUUGUGAUAUGGUUCAAUAAACAUGGUGGUCAAAAGUUGCACUUGAUGGUCUUGGAGGUUUUUUCUAACCCUGACAAUUGUAUGAUUGUAUGAUUGAUUCUAUAAGUUCUUACCUAAGAUAAGAUUUAAAGUAUUUGGGAUGAGUUAUGUUCCUUCAUCUCUAGUGAAAGGAAAAGAAAUCAAUUYGUCUCGCUGUUUUUAUCUGAGAAAGUUUAUUGCUAACAAAUAUUUGUAAAUAACUUAGUAAUGAAACUAUGAAUAAUGAAACUAUGCCUCUGUUUUAUUUUAUAAAUUUAGAGAUAAGAUAGYAAAAGGAAAACUGAAACAACAAAAUGUCUUUGUGCUUCCCUCYUUUUAUGUGAGGUAACCUGACCUACAGAAC